CCUCAGAUCUGCUGCUCUGUUUACAAAGGAGGCAGUGUGGUGCUCUGGAAAGAAGAGCCUGAAGACCUGGGGGACAGCUUGGUCCCACUACUUGCCACCUGUGGAUCUGCCUGCCCUUGGGAACACCCUUCCUCUGCCUGAGCCUCAGUUUCCACAUCUGUAAAAUGGUGAUGUGUGAACUUCCCUGGCAGGGCUGUAGGGGAGAUCGGAGAUAAUACACGACAGGCAUAGCCACUCAGCAAUACGAGGUAUUUUUUUUUUUCCUGAUUCCCAUUCCCAAGUACUGAAUUUACGAAAAGCUUGCAACACGCUGCCUCGGUACAAAGUUCAAGGACUUGAGACUGUCAGGACCUCCUUUAUCUUGAUGCGCCACUCCACUCGGAGACGGUUCCCUCGUCUUAAGUAAACCAGUCGGAUCUGGGGUUAGACUGGCAAGAGGUAGGCGAAAGAAAAUGAAAAAUAAGUCCAAAGAACAAGAUGCAGUCAGCAGUUCUGCUUCCUCGCAUGGAUGCUCCAUUCAGAGACACAGUCAGUUCUCCCCUCCUGCCUCCCUUCCAGGACUGACUCCACAGCCGCCAUCCAUGGCAGCCACUGGCUGCACACCUGGGUUCCCAUCUGUCCAGAACAACGAAGAAAUAAUCACUGGCAAAGUAAAGCCACAGAACAUAUUCUCAAACGAGGUUGUCAAGCCCUUGGCACAGCUCUUGCCCCGAGUCUGCACCCGCUGCCCUCCCAGUCCUUGUCAUCCCUGUCAACUGCACUGCUGUGCUGGGGCAAACACUGCCCCCUGCUUGCUGUUCUUCUGUCCCUUCUUUGUCCAGAACAGGGGACGACUUUGGUUAUUUUUUGCCUUCUUAGGGAGUAAAUAAUGAUGACAAAUUGGCUUCACUCUGAUGACCAACUUUCACCUUGGGUCUCAUUUCAUAGAGGGGUGUCAAACCACCAAAACCUCCCUAUCGUCACCAAAGCUUUAGAAGCCUUGGCUUGGCCUUCCAAAGGGUAGUCGGGGGCUUCCUGCUUUUUUUUUUUUCGCUGCAACCUUGGCAUGUGAAAGUUCCCAGGCCAGGGAUUGAACUUGUGCCAUAGCAGCAACACAAGCUGGGCCCUCAAGCCGCUAAGCCACCAGGGAACCCGGGGGCUCCCAUCUUUAAUGUGCUCUUUGCCCCUUGGGGUCAAGGAAUCAAGGACAUGAAUCAAAUCACGGAGCUCACAUUGAUUCCACUCACAUACCCAGGGUAGAGUAGCGGUUUGGUUAAAUGCAUUCACUUUAUUUAUUUGUUUAUUUAUUUAUUUAUUUAUUUAUUUUAUUACUCAAAUGAAUUUAUCACAUCUGUAGUUGUAUGAUGAUCAUAACAAUCCAAUUUCACAGCAUUUCCAUCCCACAACCCAAGCACAUCCCCCCACCACCCCCAAACUGUCUCCUCCGGAGACCAUAAGUUUUUCAAUGUCUGUGAGUCAGCAUCUGUUCUGCAAAGAAGUUCAGUCUGUCCUUUUUUCAGAUUUCACAGGUCAGUGAAAGCACUUGAUGUUGGUGUCUCAUUGUAUGGCUGACUUCACUUAGCAUGAUAAGUUCUAGGUGCAUCUAUGUUGCUAAAAAUGCUGGUAUUUCGUUCCUUUUAAUGGCUGAGUAAUAUUCCAUUGUGUAUACGUAC
rnacentral:lncRNA from 1 species